GGUUUGAUUAUGGCUCAGAUUUGAACGCUGGCGGGAUGCGCUUUACAUGCAUUCAGACGCGCUGGACUUCGGUCUGGUGGCGAGUGGCGAACGAACGGUAAUGUAUCGGAACGUGCCUGGUAGCGGGGGAUAACUACGCGAAAGCGUAGCUAAUACCGCAUACGCCCUUCAGGAAAGCGGGGACCUUCAGACUCGCACUGUUAAACGACCGAUAUCGGAUUAGCUAGUUGGUGGGAAUGCGCGGCUCACCAAGGCGACGAUCCGUAGCUGGGCGGAAGGACGAUGACCACGCAGGACUGAGACGGCCGGGCUCUGGGAAGGCAUGGUGAAAUUUUUGGACAAUGGGAAACCUGAUCCGGCCAUCCACGUGUGCGAUGAAGGCCUUCAGGUUGUAAAGCACUUUUGGCAGGAAAGAAACGGCACGGGAUAUGCGUGCAGCUGACGUACCUGCAGAAUAAGCACCGGCUAACUACGUGCCGCUGGCCGCGUGUGCGAGGUGCAAGCGUUGGUCAGGAAUUCCUGGAAGCGUAGCGUGCGCAGGCGGUUCGGAAGAAGGAUGUAGGUGAAACGCUUUGGAUUGCGACACCGCUUUCUGGGCGCGUUACUACUAAGAGGAGGUGGAAUUCCGCGUGUAGCAGUGGAAAUGCGUAGAUAUGCGGAGAAGGGCCACGAUGGCAAAGGGCGGCCUCUGGGAUGCACUGGCGCUCAUGCACAGCAGUAGGGAGCAAACAAGUUCGAAUACCCUGUUCAUUCACGCCCUAAACGAUGUCAACUAGCUGUUGGGGCCUUCGGGCGGCACAUGAAGUAGCGCCAUGCGCGUGAAGUUCGUUACUUCGGUACGGUCGCAAGAUUAAACUCAAAGGAAUUGACGGGGACCGCACAACGGUGGAUGAUGUGGAUUAAUUCGAUGCAACGCGAAAACCUUACCUACCCUUAACGUAUCUGGAAUCCCGAAGAGGUUUGAGGUGUCGCAAGAGAACCGGAACACCAGUGCUGCAUAACAAUGGUAAGCUCGUGUCAUGAGAUGUUGGAACAAGUCCGCAGCAGCGCAACCCACUUGUGUCGUGCUGAUUGCUGAAAGAGGCCUCUAUUAGACUGCUGGUGUUCAGCAAACUGGAGGAAGGUGGGGGCUGACGUCCGUCCUCCUUGGCCCUUAACCAGGUGGGCUUACGUCUAUACAGCUAAAUUCAGGACAGAGGGUCGCCAACCUUGCGAGAAGACCAAGUCCAGAAACCCGAUCGUAGUCCAGGAUCACCGGUCUUAACUCGACUGCGUAGAAUCGAAUCGCUAGUAAUCGCGGAUCAGCAUGUCGCGGUGAAUACGUUCCCGGGUCUUGUACCACCGCCCAUCACACCAUGGGAGUGGGUUUUACCAUAGUUAGCUCUAAUAAGCCAAGGAGGGCGAUUACUACAUUAGGAUUCAUGACUGGGGUGAAGUCAUGCUUUCAAAGGUAGCUCUCAUUACCACAAUUAUACGG
rnacentral:rRNA from 1 species